rfam:Rattus norvegicus chromosome 19, whole genome shotgun sequence.
GGGGAUUUAGCUCAGUGGUUAGAGCGCUUGCCUAGGAAGCGCAAGGCCCUGGGUUCGAUCCCCAGCUCCG